rnacentral:rRNA from 1 species
GAUGAACGCUGGCGGCGUGCCUAAUACAUGCAAGUCGAGCGAACAGACGAGGAGCUUGCUCCUCUGACGUUAGCGGCGGACGGGUGAGUAACACGUGGAUAACCUACCUAUAAGACUGGGAUAACUUCGGGAAACCGGAGCUAAUACCGGAUAAUAUAUUGAACCGCAUGGUUCAAUAGUGAAAGACGGUUUUGCUGUCACUUAUAGAUGGAUCCGCGCCGCAUUAGCUAGUUGGUAAGGUAACGGCUUACCAAGGCAACGAUGCGUAGCCGACCUGAGAGUGUGAUCGGCCACACUGGAACUGAGACACGGUCCAGACUCCGACGGGAGGCAGCAGUAGGGAAUCUUCCGCGAUGGGCGAAAGCCUGACGGAGCAACGCCGCGUGAGUGAUGAAGGUCUUCGGAUCGUAAAACUCUGUUAUUAGGGAAGAACAAAUGUGUAAGUAACUAUGCACGUCUUGACGGUACCUAAUCAGAAAGCCACGGCUAAGUACGUG